UUUCUUUUUCCCCCAAACUUCACGAAUCACCACGCUCUCCAAACGAAGAACCCUAAUUUCGUAUUCCCCCAAUUUCAUCUUCCCCAAUUUCUUGAUGAAACCAUUUAGCUAGCAAUUCAACUCAACAUUUUGGUGCUACAAUCGCAAUUCAACUCAACGUUUCGCUGCUACAAUCUCAAUUCAUCUCAGCAUCGCGAAUUCAAAUCAGCAUCACAACUCAACGUUUCGUAUUCUCAUAAUCGUUGUCUCUUCUGCUGGAUAUUCUCUCUUUAGCUUUUCAAGAUUUCUCUUCGGCGACUGUCGAUCUAUUUUUCGCGUUUUCUACUUCAAAGGUGGAAUCAAGGUUUUCGGUUGUGGCUUCAGGUGUAAAUCAUCAAGUUUCAUCAAGAGAGCUUUAACAUACACCAUUAGUAGGCUUCUUACUCGAGAUCAUUGGUGGGUGUUGAUAUGCUACUACUUCAGAGGAGGGAUGUUAAACCAGCUAUGGUUUGCACUGCCAAUGAUUUACAAGGGAGGAAAGAUUUUUCAAAGGGACUCAAGGUUCUUCUCUUUGAAGGAGACAACAAUUCUGCUACUGAAAAGCUUGAAGACAAAAUUGUUGAAUUUAAUUUCACUUUUUCUAGACUUCAUUAAGAUUAACAUUAAGAUUAAUUUAUUAAGACUAUUAAAUUUGUGUAACACAAUAAUUGUGUCAUUUCAUACUAAUGUAUGUACAAUUUACU